rnacentral:rRNA from 1 species
AGUGAAUGCUGGCGGUAGGCCUAACACAUGCAAGUCGAACGGCAGCACAGUAAGAGCUUGCUCUUACGGGUGGCGAGUGGCGGACGGGUGAGGAAUACAUCGGAAUCUACUUUUUCGUGGGGGAUAACGUAGGGAAACUUACGCUAAUACCGCAUACGACCUACGGGUGAAAGCAGUGGAUCUUCGGACCUUGCGCGAUUGAAUGAGCCGAUGUCGGAUUAGCUAGUUGGCGGAGUAAAGGCCCACCAAGGCGACGAUCCGUAGCUGGUCUGAGAGGAUGAUCAGCCACACUGGAACUGAGACACGGUCCAGACUCCUACGGGAGGCAGCAGUGGGGAAUAUUGGACAAUGGGCGCAAGCCUGAUCCAGCCAUACCGCGUGGGUGAAGAAGGCCUUCGGGUUGUAAAGCCCUUUUGUUGGGAAAGAAAAGCAGCAGGUUAAUACCCCGCUGUUCUGACGGUACCCAAAGAAUAAGCACCGGCUAACUUCGUG